rnacentral:SRP_RNA from 2 species
GCUGGGCGUGGUGGCGGGCGCCUGUAAUCCAAGCUACUCGGGAGGUUGAGGCAGGAGAAUUGCUUGAACCCAGGAGGUGGAGGUUGCAGUGAGCUGAGAUCACGCCACUGCACUCCAGCCUGGGUGACAGAGCAAGACUCUGUCUCAA